GUCUCUGCUUCUCUCCGGCUCCGGUGCGGCGGGCGGCGGGGCUUGUCCAACAUCCCUCACCUCCCUCAGUUGGACAUUUCCCUUCCACGCUCGGAUGCCCAGCCGCGCCUGUUUUCUUGCAUCCCUCCUGUCGUGUCUGCGGGGCUGCCCUGAAGGCCUCUUUCCCUCCAGGGAAGAAAGGGAUCCAAAGCUAGGGGUGAAAAUAGGGCCAGCAGUAUCUAGCAGACUGGUCCUGGCCAGGAGAAGGGGUUAAGGGAGCCACUCAUUCUUCGCCUGGGUACACUUCAAAGAGGGGAACCAGAUCCUACGGGAAGCUAGGUGCCAGAACUCCUGCCUUUCCAAGACGAGCUCAUCCCCAUCAUCACCAUACCCAGGAAUACUUGUUCAUAGCCAGCUCAGAGGUGCACCAUACUUUAGCUUCCCACGGCCUUCACUCGUUUUCUCCUGUGGGUGAAUUCUAACUAGGCUCGCCUGUCACCAAAGAUGGAAACAGAGAAUAGAUCCUGAACACCAGGAAGAUGGUGACAAGGUGAUAGAGAAACAGAUGGCACAUUCAAACAAGGACAAUGGAUCUCAUGAUCUCCCCACCAUGCACGUUGUGACCUCCUCCCCCUGCUGACAACAGAUGACCACCUUCAACUGUAACUUUCCACUGCCUACCCAAGUCCUGUAAAGUUGCCCCUCUCCUAUCUCCCUUCGCUGACUCUCUUUUUGGACUCAGCCCACUUGCACCCAAGUGAAUAAACAGC
rnacentral:lncRNA from 1 species